GAUGAACGCUGGCGGCGUGCCUAAUACAUGCAAGUCGAGCGAACAGAUGAGGAGCUUGCUCCUCUGACGUUAGCGGCGGACGGGUGAGUAACACGUGGAUAACCUUCCUAUAAGACUGGAAUAACUUCGGGAAACCGGAGCUAAUACCGGAUAAUAUAUUGAACCGCAUGGUUCAAUAGUGAAAGACGGUUUUGCUGUCACUUAUAGAUGGAUCCGCGCCGCAUUAGCUAGUUGGUAAUGUAACGGCUUACCAAGGCAACGAUGCGUAGCCGACCUGAGAGGGUGAUCGGCCACACUGGAACUGAGACACGGUCCAGACUCCUACGGGAGGCAGCAGUAGGGAAUCUUCCGCAAUGGGCGAAAGCCUGACGGAGCAACGCCGCGUGAGUGAUGAAGGUCUUCGGAUCGUAAAACUCUGUUAUUAGGGAAGAACAAAUGUGUAAGUAACUAUGCACGUCUUGACGGUACCUAAUCAGAAAGCCACGGCUAACUACGUG
rnacentral:rRNA from 1 species